CAACUUUUAACAAUGGAUCUCUUGGUUCUCGCAUCGAUGAAGAACGUAGCAAAGUGCGAUAACUAGUGUGAAUUGCAUAUUCAGUGAAUCAUCGAGUCUUUGAACGCAUCUUGCACUCAAUGGUAUUCCAUUGAGUACGCCUGUUUCAGUAUCA
rnacentral:rRNA from 1 species